rnacentral:rRNA from 1 species
CUACGGGAGGCUCCAGUGGGGAAUAUUGCGCAAUGGGGGAAACCCUGACGCAGCAACGCCGCGUGAGUGAAGAAGGCUUUCGGGUCGUAAAGCUCUGUCAAGCGGGAAGAACCGCUCCACGACUAAUAAUUGUGGGGUCUGACGGUACCGCUGAAGGAAGCACCGGCUAACUCCGUGCCAGCAGCCGCGGUAAUACGGAGGGUGCAAGCGUUAUUCGGAAUCAUUGGGUGUAAAGCGCGUGUAGGCGGCUUGGUAAGUCAGAUGUGAAAUCUCCGGGCUUAACUCGGAAAGUGCAUUUGAAACUGCCAGGCUUGAGUCCGGGAGAGGAAGGUGGAAUUCCCAGUGUAGAGGUGAAAUUCGUAGAUAUUGGGAGGAACACCGGUGGCGAAGGCGACCUUCUGGACCGAGACUGACGCUGAGACGCGAAAGCGUGGGUAGCAAACAGGAUUAGAUACCCUGGUAGUC